UAUAUGAAUUGUCACUCUAGGUUUUUGGAUAGAAGAGUAGCAAUAUAGUUGCAUUACAUGUAAAUAUUAAUAAUUUUUUCUAGGGAAGUAAAUAUUAAUAAGUUAAAUAAUAGUAAAAAAAAAAGAAGAAGAACAAAGUAAAGAAGUGAAAUAACGAACCCUACAAACUCUUUUGUCUUUUGUACGGUAACAAAGCAAAACAUCCAUCGGUGAAGCAGUGAGAUUGGAAAGGAGUAGCGAAAACUGAAAGCAAUGUCGGAUUCUCGUGAAGUGGGGAAGGAGAACGCUAACUUCCGGGACAACCACCGCCGGAUUCUUGCGGCGCAGUACGAGCUGCGGCGGAGGCUCUACAAAGCCAUCUCCAACGAUCCCAGCCUUCCCGAUGAGGUCCGUGAGGAGAAUCGCUACAAGCUCGCUAAGCUUCCCAGAAACAGCUCCUUCACUCGAAUCAGAAACCGCUGCGUCUUCACAGGUCGCGCUCGCGGUGUCUACGCGGCCUUCCGCAUGUCUCGUCUCGUUUUUCGUGAGUUGGCCUCCAAGGGCAUGUUGAAUGGGAUCAAGAAGGCCUCCUGGUAGAUUAGCUGUCUAUGGCGCCCGCGCCCAAACAGGAUUUCAUCUCCUUUGCCGAUGAUACUCUUAUUACAACGAACAAUUCUUGUGAUAAAUUUUGGUCAGAAUUCUUCUUCUCAAAUGAAAACAGAAUGGAAACACCUUUUUAAUCAUUGCGGUGUUCAGCUAUGAAUAACCCAUCUUAUUUAAAAAUUUUGGAAUAAUUAAUUUCACUGCCGUUUGUUGUAGUUAGGAGAUAUUUUUCAUUGGGCUACUUCUUAUUUAUUGCAUAAUACAAGGUAAACAAACCAUUUCACAGUGAACA